rnacentral:rRNA from 1 species
CAACGGUUGGGAGCUCUCCCAUAUGGUCGACCUGCAGGCGGCCGCGAAUUCACUAGUGAUUAGAGUUUGAUCAUGGCUCAGAUUGAACGCUGGCGGCAGGCUUAACACAUGCAAGUCGAGCGGUAGCACAAGGGAGCUUGCUCCCUGGGUGACGAGCGCGGACGGGUGAGUAAUGUCUGGGAAACUGCCUGAUGGAGGGGGAUAACUACUGGAAACGGUAGCUAAUACCGCAUAACGUCGCAAGACCAAAGAGGGGGACCUUCGGGCCUCUUGCCAUCAGAUGUGCCCAGAUGGGAUUAGCUAGUAGGUGGGGUAAUGGCUCACCUAGGCGACGAUCCCUAGCUGGUCUGAGAGGAUGACCAGCCACACUGGAACUGAGACACGGUCCAGACUCCUACGGGAGGCAGCAGUGGGGAAUAUUGCACAAUGGGCGCAAGCCUGAUGCAGCCAUGCCGCGUGUGUGAAGAAGGCCUUCGGGUUGUAAAGCACUUUCAGCCGAGGAGGAAGGUGGUGAGCUUAAUACGUCAUCAAUGACGGAC